rnacentral:lncRNA from 1 species
GAUAAUUUUUAAUUACUAGCAAACCUUAUAUUAAUAGCCAUAAGAUUUCAUCUCACUUAUGCGAGAUUAAAUCCUUUUCGUUGGUCAACGAUGGUCAACGAUCAAGGCCAGUCAACAAUCAAAGGUGGUCAACUUUUAUUGCUAAUUAUAAAUUUUUAAUAUAAUUUGAUUUUUUUUCUACAAAAUACCAAAGCACAUUAAAAAUUUCAUAAUAAUGAAUUUACAAGUGUGAAAAAUAUGAAAAAAAAAAUUGUAAACGCUCAUUAUCUUCAAAAUAUAUUUUAAUGAAAAACAAUAAUAUCUCAAAACCAUAAAAUAAUAAAAAAAAAAUUAAUCGUCACAUGUGUAGAAAUGUGGUAAGAAGCUAUAAAAAGAGUCAUUUAUUAAAGCAAAGCAUAGUUCUUUUAUGUUUAGUAGCCUAACAGUUGUGUAGUAUUUGGCCCAAACUUAAAUAUAUAGACACACUAAAUUCAUUAUCAUUAGAAACACUCAAGGAAAAAUUCUUUUACCAAACUGAACAGCAUGCAAACUUGCUUUCUAUUUUUACCAUUAUCUUGUUCUCUCAACCACCCUUAGUUUCUUCUUUUAUUUUUAUUUUUAUAAAAAAAAAUAAUAUUAUCUAUAUUAAUGGAGAGGGAAGAUGGUCUUAGCCUCACAAUAGACUAGUAAUAAUGUGAUUCAAACUAACCUUUGGCGAGAAUCGAACCUAAGACUUCUCACUUACAAGUGAAGAUGAAUAUUAUUAUAUUGUAGUACUAAAUAGCAACCACCCUUAGUUUAUUAACAAACGAAAAAAGAAAAAAAAACACCCUUAGUUUAUUAGGCUCUUAAAAGUUUGUAACUAUAACCAUAAUAGACAUUACAUCUAGAUGAGAACUUCAAGUGCUUUAAAAAUAUUAUAGUAGCUACUUAGUACUAUGGUCUAGUAGUAUUUCUCUUCACUUAUAAAUGAGAGGUCUUAGGUUCGAUUCUCGCCAAAAGCGAACUUGAAUCACAUUAUUACUGGACCAUUAUAAGGCUUAGCCUACCUCCUCCCCUUAGUGUAGAUAAUAUUGUUUGUUAAAAAAAAAAUUAUAGUAAUAAUAUUGAGACUAAACCAAUUUUUAUUAUUUUAAAGAGUUUAUUGCUUAAUAUAGGUGUAGUUGCAAAAAUUACUUUUUGACUUAGUUCUAUUUUUAGUAAAAGUUAUUAUAGUUUGGUGUUUAUUCAUAAGUAUAAAUGCCCAAAUUGGGACUAAAAUUUGUUAUGACUACAUAGAGUAUUAUUAUAGAGAGAUUUUACCGUAUAUAUGUAUGUAUGUAUGUAAACACUGUUGUAGUCAUAUUUAGAAUAGAAAUGUGAUUGUGUAAAUCCUAAUGUAUCUAGGGAUAUCUUGGAAUAUUCCCUUAGUAGUUAAUAUCCUAUUAGAGUUGUAAUCCUAAAAGGAUUAUGAUUUAACAUAUCCUACCACUAUAAAUAAAGGCACAAUGAGGUGAUACAACACACACCCAACAAUUAAAUCUCUCUCUUCUCUCUCUUAUUGCCACUGGCCUCCCCCUCUCUAUUCCCUUAUAAUAGUUUAGCCUAAUAGGCCUACAACACGUUGUCAGCACGUUCUUGCCAGAAGCUAAGGAAUUGAAGGAUUGUAGGAGGAGGCUUUCUUCUACAAAAUUCAAAGGCUUUUAUUUGUUUUCUACCAAUCAUGUACGCUUAAAAUAAAGUAAGAUAUUUGAAACAUCCACAAAGCAUGAAAACAUUCCCCAUGAUGCAUGAACCUCUUAUAUUUAUAUUUUCCUUCGGAUAUAUAUAUAUAUAUAUAUAUAUAUUGUAUAUGAUUCACAUAUUUGUCAAUUCAUAUAUACGUUUCAUUCAUUACACAAUUGUUUUGCUAUGUGGAAUUUGUGAGUCAAAGCAUAUAAAUAAAUUAGAAGUAAUUUAGGGUUUUCCAAAC